UCAAAUGACUACCAUUUACAUGUCAUGUCCCCUGCUUCUUACAUGUCAUGUCCCUGUUCUUACAUGUCAUGUCCCCUGUUCUACAUGUCAUGUCCCCUGUCUUACAUGUCUGUCCCCUGUUCUUACAUGUCAUGUCCCGUUCUUACAUUCAUGUCCCCGUUCUUAAAUGUCAUGUCCCCUGUUCUUACAUGUCCUGUCCCCUGUUCUUACAUGUCAUGUCCCCUGUUCUUACAUGUCAUGUCCCCUGUUCUUACAUUGUCAUGUCCCUGUUCUUACAUGUCAUGUCCCCUGUUCUUACAUGUCAUGUCCCCUGUUCUUACAUGUCAUGUCCCCUGUUCUACAGGCAUGCCCUGUCUUACCAUGUAUUCCCUGUUCUUACAUGUUCAUGUCCCCUGUUCUUACAUGUCAUGUCCCUGUUCUUACAUGUCAUGUCCCCUGUUCUUACAUGUCAUGUCCCCUGUUCUUAAUGUCAUGUCCCCUGUUUACAUGUAUGUCCCCUGUUCUUACAUGUCAUGUCCCCUGUUUACUGUCAUGUCCCUGUUCUUACAUGUCAUGUCCCUGUUCUUACAUGUCAUGUCCCCUGUUCUUAAUGUCAUUCCCUGUUCUUACAUGUCAUGUCCCCUUUCUGUUCCCUGUAUUACAUGUCAUGUCCCUGUUCUUACAUGUCAUGUCCCCUGUUCUUACAUGUCAUGUCCCCUGUUCUACAUGUCAUGUCCCUGUUCUUACAUGUCAUGUCCCUGUUCUUACCUGUUCCCCUGUUUACAUGUCAUGUCCCCUGUUCUUACUGUCAUUCCCUGUUCUUAAUGUCUUUCCCCUGUUCUUACAUGUCAUGUUCCCCUGUUCUUACUGUCAUGUCCCUGUUCUUACUGCCAUGUCCCCUGUUCUUACCUGCCAUGUCCCCUGUUUCUUACAUGCAUGUCCCUGUUCUUACAUGCCAUGUCCCCUGUUC
rnacentral:lncRNA from 1 species